ACUGUUCAGUCUGGGGCCCGUCUCAGAUCUUGUGUCAGACGAUCAGAGCUCUAUGGUUUCUGUUUCCGAGUACCUCCCACCAUCAGGAGCACUUAGAGGAACAGAUUUGUUGGUGUUGUGGAGCUAUUAUUAGCACUCUGGGGAGGGGCGAGUCUGUUUAUGUCCUUAUUUGCGUCUGCCCAUGUGUGUGUUUGUUUGUUUGUACGCGUGUGAUUGUGCGGGGUGGGGUUAAAGUUGAACCACAGUGACACGGAGUGCAUAGCACAGUCAGAUGAUAAUGUUUUAAUACCGAUCUGUAAGGCCCAUGAAUCUGACAGGCAUUCGGAUCCGAGAUGAGCUUGGGGUUCGUUCCAUGGGUUUGAUGUGAUGUGUGGCUUACCUUCAACCUUAAUGGCUGAGUAAAGCCCUCCACAGUUUUAGUACCUGCAUACAUGCUUUAACAAUGCACUUCUGCUGCUCAGUUUGCAUUAGAGGUAAACUGUGACCAAAGUAUCUCAAAUAUCCUUACCAUGUAAAUGUAUCUUGAUGCAUCUUCACCCCUAAACGUCAACCAUGUGAAUUGAAAGUGGCUUUGUGUAACAAUGUAAUAGCAUUUGUGUUAAUGCUAAGCUUGUUGAGUUGAACGGUUCUUUUGGAUUUGUUGCAACGGAUGCAGGAGGGUCCAUUUGCAUGGCAUGGAACUAAGUUUGGAAAGAUUUAUUUGAAUGGUGAAAGGUCUCUUUUUUUUGUUUUCAGUGUCUCUAGACACAUCUGCCUUUGCGGGACCAUGAGUGGGAUUCAGCCAUUCCACAACAAGUGCUGCCCCGGUCACACGUCAACCCUGACAAAAAUCCCCCUGAGCCCCAGACACGAGUGGGCCAUGCUACUGCUGGAGAAGGCUUGGUUAAAAGCCCACUUCAAUCACGCCAAAGGGGAACGCCCCCCAACCCGCCGUGCCCAUUCUGCCCAGAUAUAUAACCCGACAAUGACCCAAAACACACCUCCAGGCUGCUCUGUCUGUACACGUUGCUAACGUGUGUGGGAGGUCUAUGGCAGAGUGGGAUGGUAGACCCAAACUCUCACUGCGACGGUUCUUCUCCUUCGUUGGGCUGCACAGUGUGGGCAGGCUGGUGAAGGGAGGGUGCUCCAGCAGCAUGGAACAGCUCAGUAUCUCAGCGCCUCUGGCCAGCUCCGCCCCACCCACAGGCUUCACCCCAACGCCUGCCAGCAGACGACCCCCUCACGACAGGCACUGUGCACAGUAAGCACCAGUCCUUCAAUUCAGGUGUCCCCACUGGCCCAGCUUCGUAAGCCUCCUCUGUGCAGAGUCUGGAGAGGAGAGUGGAGCGUUCAACCAUUCUGGGAGAGGUGCCCGUGCCUUAAAGCCUGGCACCCAGGUGUGUAUGUGGAGCAGGUAGGGGACGGUUCCUGGGCGCUGAGGGGGAUGAGAUCCUGGAGGUGAAUGGGGAGGCGGUGGCUGGACUGACCCUGGAUCAGGUGUCAGGUCUCAUGACACGCAACAGCACCGCCUCUAUCCAUAUAUCCUGCCACUCGUCGGAACCAGCGAUGAGCAAUGCAAUACUGGAAUAUUCCAUUAUCCAUUUCAAUAAAUUAAAAAACACUGGACACUGCCCUGUGAUGAUGUCAUGACAAAAACACGAGAAUGGAAAUAAGCAAGCAUAAUGAGAGAUUUUUUUUAACUCUGGGAGAACCAAAGGAAGGACAUAAUCAACCUAAUUAUAUUUGUCCAUUAUUAGGCCUAGUCUUUGAAGAUUCCCUCAAAUGUAACUACCGGUCAAUCAAAACUGAUGACAAAUAAAACAGAGAAAGAAGAUGCUGCACCUAAUGGUCAUUUUGCAUUUCACAAUAAAUCACAUAUUGUAUAAUAUAUAUAAU